CACGUAGGGCGCAAGCGUUGUCCGGAAUUAUUGGGCGUAAAGAGCUCGUAGGCGGUCUGUUACGUCUGCUGUGAAAACCCGGGGCUUAACCCUGGGCUUGCAGUGGAUACGGGCAGACUAGAGGCAGGUAGGGGAGAAUGGAAUUCCCGGUGUAGCGGUGAAAUGCGCAGAUAUCGGGAGGAACACCGGUGGCGAAGGCGGUUCUCUGGGCCUGUUCUGACGCUGAGAAGCGAAAGCAUGGGGAGCAAACAGG
rnacentral:rRNA from 1 species